GCGGCUCCGCCCCCGCUCCCUGCCAGGGAGGCUGAGGCACCGGCCGCCGCUGCCCGGCUUCCCCGCGCACCGCCCCGGGGCAGCGAGGCGCCGGGAGGAUGCGAGUGGGCGCUGCGGGCGGCGGCGAGGCGAGGGCCCGGGCGGCCUUGGGAGUUCCCGGCUCACCCACCGCCCCCCCGCCCCAAAAGAAGUGCAGUAGUUUGUGAAACGCAAGAUGGCGGCGCGGCCGUGAGCGAAGGCGGCAGGCGGGCAGACAGGCAGGAGGGCGGCACGGGCGGAGGGGGCGAGGCGGAGCGGCGCCGGCAGAUCAGGAUGUGCAGCACUGGAGACUAACACCGACUCCAAUAAACCACGUAAUGGAGGCAGUUCUGGAUCUCUAAAAGGGCUCAGAGUAGCUGCAGUAGUGAACGCUGUCUGGUGGUGGAUGUGGACUUUAAAACAGUGUGUCUCAACAUUUCAUCCUCAACUAUCUAUUUUUAAUCUGAUUGCACUACAAAAGAAAAGCUGCUAAUGGGAUAAAUGUUGAGACUUUACAAGAACUGACUUGAAGUACCGAAAGCCAUUAUUAACCAAGAAGAGCUUGAAGCUAAGUCUGUAUCUUACUAGUCAGUAACACUUUCACACAACAGGCAUGGCAAGUAAACGAAAAUCAACAACACCGUGCAUGGUCUUAGCCAACGAGCAGGAUCCGGAUCUAGAAAUGGUAUCAGACUUGGAGGAAGGACCACCUGUACUCGCACCAGCAGAUAACCCUACAGCAGAGAGUGUAACCAGUGAUGAGGAUGUUCAUGAGUAUGUGGAUUCAGACAAUCAGAAAAAUACAAAUAAAGUAGAAGGUGGUUAUGAGUGUAAAUACUGUACUUUUCAAACUCCAGAUCUCAAUAUGUUUACUUUCCACGUGGAUUCAGAACAUCCCAACGUAGUAUUAAAUUCAUCCUACGUUUGUGUAGAAUGCAAUUUCCUUACCAAAAGAUACGAUGCUCUCUCAGAACAUAAUUUGAAGUACCACCCUGGAGAGGAGAACUUUAAAUUGACUAUGGUGAAACGUAAUAAUCAGACAAUCUUUGAACAAACAGUAAACGAUCUCACUUUUGAUGGGAGUUUUGUUAGGGAAGAAAACGCUGAACAGGCCAACUCUUCUGAGGUCCCCUCAUCAGGGAUCUCAAUUAGCAAAACUCCUAUUAUGAAAAUGAUGAAAAACAAAACUGAGACUAAACGUAUCGCUGUUUUCCACAAUGUGGUUGAUGACAUUCCUGGUGAAGAAAAGGGAACUGAAAAUGAGCCAAACUCCGAAGAAGUAGUAGAAAACCCACCACCAUCAGUUUCUGAGUCAAAAGCGAGCCAUUCAGUUUGCAGUGCAGCAGAUGUGGCUAGCGCGGUAGUGACUCCAGCACCGGUGCUUCAGCCUGGGGUGGCACAGGUUAUAACAGCUGUUACAGCUCCACAGAACUCAAACCUGAUUCCAAAAGUCCUAAUACCUGUAAAUAGCAUUCCAGCCUAUAAUACUGCUUUGGAUAACAAUCCUCUUUUGCUUAACACCUACAACAAAUUCCCAUAUCCAACCAUGUCAGAAAUCACUGUUCUUUCCACUCAAGCUAAGUAUACAGAGGAACAGAUUAAAAUAUGGUUUUCUGCCCAGCGUCUGAAACAUGGUGUGAGCUGGACACCGGAGGAAGUGGAGGAAGCAAGGAGGAAACAAUUUAAUGGCACAGUGCAUACGGUACCACAGACAAUUACCGUUAUUCCAGCACACAUUUCUGCCGCUAGCAAUGGUUUACCUUCAAUUUUACAGACGUGCCAAAUAGUUGGUCAGCCAGGACUUGUUCUCACUCAAGUUGCGGGUGCAAAUACGUUACCAGUAACAGCCCCAAUAGCUUUGACUGUAGCGGGAGUCCCAAACCAAACACAGUUACAGAAGAGUCAGAUUCACACUGCUCAGCCUAUUGCAGAAACCAAACAAGUAGCUGCUGUUCCAGCCCCUCAGCCUAUCAAAAAUGAAUCCACGCUGAUGAAUCCUGACUCCUUCAGCAUCCGAGCAAAAAAAACUAAGGAACAACUGGCAGAAUUGAAAGUCAGCUACCUUAAAAAUCAGUUUCCCCAAGAUUCAGAAAUCGUUAGACUUAUGAAAAUAACGGGUCUGACUAAAGGAGAGAUCAAAAAGUGGUUCAGUGAUACACGCUACAAUCAGAGAAACUCAAAGAAUAAUCAUGGGAUUCAUCUCAACAGUGAUUCAUGCGCCACUAUUGUUAUUGAUUCAAGCGACGAAAUGAAUGAGUCCCCAACGGGAGUCACUCCACAGAGCAAGUCAUCAUGGAGUGCUUUUCCUGAUUUCACCCCACAGAAAUUCAAAGAGAAGACUGCUGAACAGCUGCAAGUCCUCCAAGCAAGUUUUCUUAAUAACCCUGUCCUCACUGAUGAAGAGAUGAAUAGGUUAAGAGCCCAAACCAAACUGACCAGGAGGGAGAUUGAUGCCUGGUUUACAGAAAGAAGGAAAUCAAAUGUCUUAAAAGAAGAGGGGGCUGACUUGAAUGAGAGCAGUGCUGGUGGCUCUAAAGAAGAGGCUGGAGAAACAUCUGUGGGAGAUGGAGCAGCAGGAGCAAAAUCAGGGUGUUCCACUUCGAGCAAAAUAGGCAAAAAAUCACCAGAGCAGUUGCACAUGCUUAAAAGUUCCUUUGUCCGUACUCAGUGGCCAUCUCCACAAGAAUACAACAAGCUGGCAGAAGAAACUGGGCUCCCAAGAUCAGAAAUUGUGAGCUGGUUUGGAGAUACUCGCUAUGCCUGGAAAAAUGGUGGAUUGAAAUGGAGAACAUUGCCUGCUCAUGAAGGAGGAAAACACAAAAACCUAAGAUGUCGUUUUGCAAACAUCACUUCACCUGAAAGGUUUCAAGGCCUGGGUUUAUUUCUUAAGGAAAGAGUUGAAAUCAAAAGAGAAGGGGAAAAGUGAGACAAAGGAAUCAAUGAACCUAGGGGUGAGGAUUGCUUGGUUUAAGAAAAUAAGGUGAUAUUGGCACCUUUUGCGUAUCUUCAGAGUAUUUUGGGUUUACAGAACUUGUGCUGAAAUAUUCCUUGUUGAUAAUUAUGAGCUAACUGAAUGAGUCUAAUGCUAGAAGAUGCUUUUCGUUACAUUUAAUCAAUGUAUCCUACAUAAAUUUAAUUUAAAUGCCUGACAGACUUGAUGCAGUUGAUAGUAACAUUUGUUUUUAGCUUGUGCAUUCUUUCAUUGUUGGAAAUGGUAAGAAAAGUACAUAUAUUUCUAGCUAAAAAGAAUAAUUUCUUGAAAUCUUACACUGAAUUUUAAGGUAAAUGUGAGGCAGAAGCUGCCGAGAAGUCAUUCAGAGAUGCUUAGGGGUUUGUAAGAAUACAGAGAUACAGAGACGAAAAGCGUCUUCGGGUACUAGUAAGAAAGGUUUUCACGUAAGUUGUGACAAUGACAUGAUGUUUAAUUCUGAAACAAGAUGAAGUUAUGUGGCUUUUAGAUGCUUAGGAAUGAUAAACAUGCUAGUGUUUAGUUGUUCUUCAGCGAUAGCCCAGUUGAAUGAUAUGUGUGCAAGUUUAACUUAAAUUCAUCCUAUCGGAUUGAGCUCGCCACUGUGCUGUUGUUCUUAGGGCUGCUGGGUGAACACACUUAUUUUUAGAGGUGGUUUGAUCUACCUGAACUGAACUCCAGAAAUAGUUUAAUUUGACACUUGUAGCUGCCCUGCUGCUCCUGGAUUGAACAGGCUGCCUGAGCUGCAGGAGGAUGUUCUGUGUGAAAGCCAUUUACCAGGGUGAGCUCUUCUGACUAUUUGAGAUUGCUGGAAAGAAAAAGGCAACAGCUUUUGGUGUGUGACACUAAUUUGACGGUGAAACUAUUUCCUGGCUUCCAAGACUCAAAUCGGUGAGGCACAAAGUGGCCAGCAGUGCUAGAGAGGACUAGCCAAGAAUCUUCCAGUUUAACUCUGGGGUGGGGGAGAAGCAAAACCAUGUUGUCAGCGUAUGUAAUUGGAGUGUUUAUGACUCUGGAUGUGAGGUGGUGUAAGAGAGAUCGGGAUCUGGCCUUUUCAGCAUUGACUGCUACAUGUGGCUGGGAGGUGUUCUUAUUUGGCUGGUAGUGGUAUGGAUGAGGCUGUUGUAGAUGCCAGCAGACAUAAGAAAGACUCAGAUUAGCAUCAAGCUGCGCUGGGAAUACAGGGUCAAAAAUCUGCUUGUUGAGUCGGAAAGGACAAAGCUAGUAUGGAAAGAGAUGCUAUUUUUAAGUUUCCAAAAAUAUUAAAGCAAAUCCUUAAAAUCCUUGGGAAUAUGCCUCUAACAAGCAAAAUCUGGAGUUGCCUUAAUCCUUAAGGUUGUCCCAGAAUUAAUUUCCUUUCAAAUAAAAAAAAACCAAAACUGCAUCCAAGCAACCUGUCCAAAUAAACAUCUCCAGUUUUUUGUUAGUGGACACUGCAUUUAGGUGAGCAUUAAAUCUGACCUUCUUUAAAAGAUUGGAAAAAAUAAAGAGCCAUGUUAAUUAUACAAUUAAACUGGGAAAUUUUCCAUUUUGGCAGUGUUCUGUUAAAUAAUGCUCAGCUACAAUGGCAGGCCUUAGCACAUCUGGUCUGAAAAACACAGGAAGAGGAAAUACAUUGUUUAUCAGACUAAAUAUAGAUGGAUUGGACAUCUUCUUUCAGUAAAAUGGUCAGAGAUGGUGGCGGAGGUAUACUGGGCUGGAUUCUCAGUUGCUGUAGAUAUUACAGUUCCAUGUAUUCCAGUGGUUGUAAUAGUAUUUACAUCCUAUUGAGGAACAUUGUCUCUUUACAGAAUAUAAAAUUCAAAUUAAACCAUAUGCUGUCGGUCAGCUAAUGAGAGAUGCAGGGUCCCCACAUUUCCUUUGGGCUACACAUAUGUUGUAAGCCUUUCACUUGUGCCAAGGAUGAGAAAAAUCUGAGGGGGUUCAGCCUGAAGACAGCAGUUAUGCAUUCAUUAUUGCUCAUAAUCUGUCUCUGAUUUCUGUUAUUUCUGUUUGAACAAGCAGAGUCCAUUAAUUACCAGUUUAUUUCAUGUUUACAGCAUGUGUAUACUUGCACUGCAUACUGGGAGAGGGGGAAACUCCUUCUGGAGGCCUCCCGCAUCAGGACUGACAGGAGAAGCCUUGGAAAGAGCUGUCUGCACGUUGGUCUGUUUUAUCUGUGAAUUGUGGUUGUGGCUGGUGGGAGCUCAAAGCUACUGGUAACAAUGGUUUAGCCUAGAUUAAUCUCAUCUAACCUUAGGCUGCUGACCUCCUUACCUAGGUGCCCAAGGCACACUAUAUAGUCACCUGAGAGAAACAGAAAUCACCUGGCAGGUGGAGGGGCUAGGGCACCUUCUCAUUCUACCAAAUCUGUACAGGAAACUUCCUGAACCUCAUCAAGUGUCUUAAUUUGUGAUGAAUCUGAGCAUUGCUGUACUCAGCAGCAGCAUGCCCUACAGCCUGGCUCCCUCUUGUAGUUUAUGCACACCUGCAAGGUGUUUUGGAAGUCACUUGGACUGAGCCCCAUUGACAGCGGGGAGGGAAGGGGCAAGAAAGUACGUCUACCCUGGGGUGAGUGUCCACGUGGGGUUUUGUUUGUCAGUGAAAAACUGUGUGUAGAUAAGCCUGUAGUAUGUUUUCUGUAUUUUUGUGGAGCUUCACCUCUUAGGUUUGUGCUAGUUAUGAGCCAGGCUUCAGUGAUUGUCAUUGGCAGGGAGAUGAAGAAACUCUUUGAUCUUGCUCAGAUCUUACCUCUGGGUAGCUGGUUUGUUCUCAGUCUUCGCUAGGACCACUGCUUCAGAGUUCAGCUGUGAGCAUCAGUUCCUUUAGAGCUAAGGUAGAGCUUUCCUCUUCAUCUGCUGUUUCUGCCAGGAGUACCUGAUCUGAUGAUGCUAGUGACUGCUGUCUCUUGAAUUCAGCUAAAGAGAAAAUAAAGAUAAUCCUGUCCCAGAAUGGAGAGGGAGAAGAGCUAAAACCAAGCAAGCAGUGUCACAGUCGGGUGGGGCAUCCAGUGUCACUGCAUCGUGCUGCUUCAUGGCAUGUUUUGCUCUUGCUUCAGAGUACGAUGAAAGAGCACAGUUCCACCUUAAACAGUGCUGUCUUCCCAGUAUCAACCUCUUAAUGACCCCAAGGUUGGUGUUUGUUAUAAAAAGAAAGUCAGACCUAUUCCUCCCUGGAGGUUCAAAUGAACUAAUGGAGUGCUGGCUUGUAAGAAGCAGAAAGAAGGGAAAAUGCAGAAACUUGAAGGCUCUUGACUUUUGCUUGCCCUGCAGGAUUCAUUUACCUGGAAGUUGAUAAGCAAAACAAGUUUUACUCUUGCCGUUCUGACAGAACAAGUAUUGCAAGCACUCAUUUUUAGCACAUAGAAAUCUCUGCUUUGUUUUGAAAGCAAAGGAGAGGAAAGAUGCCUCACGAUGGGAACUUAGUGGGUUAUAUCGAAUAAACUACAGUAAAUGAGGCCGUUCCCUUUUUUAACCUUCUCCAGUACUAUUUUAAAAACUGCUUUUUCAUGACAUAUGCAAUAUGCUGUCUGUAACUUUGAUUAUUGGGAGUGAAAUGUCUGCACAUGACAUGAAAUAAUUUUUCUAAUGCAUGAUUUGCUGACUUUGGGCAAAAGCCUGUUUUCUUCCGGCUCACCAAAGAGCUUUUGAGGCAGGCAAAUGCAGUCCCUUCUCUUCCACAGAGCAGAGUAGGCUCUUCUGGAGCCCAUACAAAGUGAUUCAUGGCCUUAUGCAGUCCCGGUAGGCCAGAAAGCCCAAAGAUGCAGACGCUCUUUUCCUCCCCCAUAUUCCUCUGAAAUGAGAGCACAGCAGUAACUCUGACAACUAGUCUCUGGCUGCUGAGUAACCAAGCUGUAGUUUAAGGUGGGGAGCAUUUUCCCUUUUGCACUUAACGGAGUACUGUGUAUUCAGGCUGGAUGUCAGUAUUUGCUUCUGUAAAUAUGACAGUAUUGAUUUGCAUCCUCCACCCGAGUCUUGUAUCUGUCUAUAUUCAUAUCUCCCAAGGAGAGAAGAUAAUCUUUAAGCUUCUGUGAUAUUAACUAUCCCUGCCCAAACCUGAAUGCACAAAAACAGUGCAAUGAAAUAUAGCUACGUUCUUUGAUUUAAUUUAUUUUUUCUUGGAAAAUAAUUUCGCUUACAUUCAGUAGUAAUGAAAAGAUACUACCAAUGAUCAGAGAGCAGUAAAACUGGUGAGAGUUGUUCAAAAUGCCUCAGAUGAUGGUGUAAAUUAGGGAUGGGAAAGGUAGCAGAGGGCUCUGUUCCCUGCACUGAACAGUGCUGGGUUACACCUGCAGUUUCCAUCAAGCUUGUGAUAUCCUCAGAUAAGUAGAUUUACCAAGUAGCAUGACACAAACUUAUUGGGUCAAGUUACUUGAGGUUUGGUGAUGUAUUAAAAUUCUGUAGGAAAAGAUUUUAAAAUGAAAGUUGUAACAGAAAGUGAAAAACCCCCUCAAUAGCUACUUAUACACACUCAGUAGCUCAAAUUUCUGUAUCAUUUUCCCACUUAAUAAAAGGAGAUUUUGAAGCACAGGUGGGUUACAGAUGCUUUUUUCAAGUUUAAUGAUAUGAGCUUUUGGGGGUUUUUCUCCUUCUGCGGUGAAGAGCAUCUGCACUUUUUCAGUGGAUAGUCAUUGCAAAACCGACUUACACAACUUCAUAAAACAUAGAGUGGGUAACUGCGGGUCCCGUAGCACUUUUCAUUAAUUAAGAUGGGAUUCGUCUGAUUGCACGUUGAUGUCUGCGUUUCAGCGGGACACCGUAGCUAGUCAGUAUGCCUAAGGAAUGCAAGCCUGCUCAUCCAACAUGCCUGGAGUUGGUCAGACGAACUGCACCCUAAGCUCCGGUGACUGUUACGUGUGGCUUGCAGGCGGACGCUGACACUACAGACGUCUGAAAUCAGGCGAGAUGGAUCUUCGCCUGGGAGCGUGCUGGCUGGAUUGCAGCACUGGUCUUUGCGUUGUGGUUAGCAAUGGUACUUACCUCCGCUUCCGACUUCAUGCUUGGUGGGAAGUGUGAGGCGUUUGUUUGGUUUUUUGGUUUUUUUUCUUUUAUUCUAGAGCAGGUAGCACUACAGAGGUGGAUAAAGUAACUGAUCCUUGGUUGUUUUACUGUGGCAUAAAAAUGAUUUGGGGUUUCUCAAGUGUUUUAGAGAUAAAGUUACUAUAUGAACAUUGGACUGUGCAUAACUUAGAAUGCGUUAAGACACAUAAUAUUUGUGUCCCAUAGGAUGAAAGUAUUUUCUUAUGCUUAUUCAAUACUAGAUACAUAUCAUGAAACUUCCCCUAAAGAAGCUGCCAGAAUGACAGAAGAUUGAAGUCUUCAUCUGUGAUACGAAAUGGUCAACCGCAAGAGCUCCAUUAUGAUUUUGAAAUGUUCCCCCCACCUCCAGUUCCAGCUUACAAAAAUGUUUCCAAUUUUGCAUAGUUGGCUAUCUGCAUGUAUGCUUACAGUGUGUACAGAAAUGCACUAAAAUGAGUUGCCCUACCUGGGAAGGCUUUAUAUUGUAUAGAAAAUGUGGCACUAGGUACUGCUCUUCAAGUGCACAGGAGAGUUAACAGGUGUCAAUCUCGUUUACAGAAAUGAUGGCGCUUUGCAAUUUUCUAUAAUAUAUUGCAAUAUAUUUAAACGUCCUGUUUGACAUGUGAAAUGAAAUUAAGUUAAUGCGUUGUUAUAUAUUUGAAGUAUGAGGAAGACGAUUCACUAACGACCAGCAAGGUUUUUAGAAGGUGUCCAGUAUGUAGCCGUCUGUGUGAUCUGUCUGGUGUAUGUGAUGUUAAAGGAAGCAACAAUACUGUCACUGUUUAGAAUGAAGAGUUUCUUUUGAAUGAUGCAAUAGCUUACAGUGUCUUUCCUUUGUAGCUGCCCAAUGUGGUGAAGGGGAAGCAAUUCUUGAAAAAGUUCAAGAAAACUGGUUAACUGUGAAUGGGCCUAAUCUUUCGUGAAACCAAGAAAAUUUUUGGACACACACAGGACUUGAAUACUCAAAAGGAUUGGAACUUAGUGUUGUGCCAAAGUUAAACUACUGCAGUUGGCAGAAGUUCUGCACUGUAAAUAGAAGACUGAUUAAAAGACAGCUUGUAAAAAAAAAAAAAAUCAAA